rnacentral:rRNA from 1 species
GACGAACGCUGGCGGCGUGCUUAACACAUGCAAGUCGAACGGAAAGGCCCUGCUUUUGUGGGGUGCUCGAGUGGCGAACGGGUGAGUAACACGUGAGUAACCUGCCCUUGACUUUGGGAUAACGUCAGGAAACUGGGGCUAAUACCGGAUAGGAGCUCCUGCUGCAUGGGGGGGGUUGGAAAGUUUCGGCGGUUGGGGAUGGACUCGCGGCUUAUCAGCUUGUUGGUGGGGUAGUGGCUUACCAAGGCUUUGACGGGUAGCCGGCCUGAGAGGGUGACCGGCCACAUUGGGACUGAGAUACGGCCCAGACUCCUACGGGAGGCAGCAGUGGGGAAUAUUGCACGAUGGGCGGAAGCCUGAUGCAGCAACGCCGCGUGCGGGAUGACGGCCUUCGGGUUGUAAACCGCUUUCGCCUGUGACGAAGCGUGAGUGACGGUAAUGGGUAAAGAAGCACCGGCUAACUACGUG